GACGAACGCUGGCGGCGUGCUUAACACAUGCAAGUCGAACGGCAAGGCCCUGUUAUUGUGGGGUGCUCGAUUGGCGAAGGGGCGCGUAACACGUGAGUAACCUGCCCUUGACUUUGGGAUAACUUCAGGACACUGGGGGUAAUACCAGAUAGGAGCUCCUGCUGCAUGGUGGGGGUUGGAAAGUUUCGGCGGUUUGGGAUGGACUCGCGGCUUAUGAGCUUGUUGGUGGGGUAGUGGCUUACCAAGGAUUUGACGGGUAGCCGGCCUGAGAGGGGUACCGGCCACAGGGCCACAGAGCUACGGCCGACACCACUGCGGGAGGCAGCAGAGGGGGCUAUAGCAUGAUGCAGCGAAGCCGCGUGCAGCAACGCCGUCUGCGGGAUGACAGCCUUCGGGUUGACACCCGCUUCCGCCUGUGCCGAAGCCUGCGUGACGGUAAUGGAUAAAGAAGCACCGGCUAACUCCGUG
rnacentral:rRNA from 1 species